GGGCCGAAACCUUCCUCACACACGCGCACGCACGCGCACAAGCUCAUAUACAAUCACACGCACACACGUUUUUUUUUGUUGUUGUUGAUGUUAUAAUCAACCUCUGGCUGUAUUGCCAUGACUUAAUUAAUUGAUAAACCCAAUAAUGCAAUUAGCAAAAAGAUUGUGGCAUGCAUCAUUUUACGAUCUUGUGACAUAUUGCGGUGUUCAGAAACAAACGUGGGACAAGGUCACGAAAUAACCUGUUUUAGAGAACAUUUGAGACACCAUGGACAAGCUGCCAAUCCAUUACUGGGUACAAUCUCACAUCAAACCAUUUAAAAACACAUGUAUGAAUUAUUGGAGGAAACCAGGUUACCCAGAGGAAGCCCUCAAAACACAGUGAGGAGGUGCAAACUCUUAACACACAGAGUGGAGAAAGACUGUUGUGAGAAGACAGCAGGAUAAAUGGAGCACUGGGGAAAAGAAAGGAGAGAUUUAAACAAAAAGGAAUGCAGUAUUGUUGAAAGAUGGAGAGACAUUGUACGCUAAAAAAAACAAAAAAAUGAAUAUCAAUGGAGGGUGCUGAUGUCUAUUAUAACUCUAAUAACAAUGAAAAAUUUAUCUUAAAAAAGAAAUCAGUCUAAAAUAUUGGCUACUAAGAUAUCAAUUUAUGUGUGUGUGUUGUCGUGUUUAUAUGUGAUUAUUUUUUUUCCCAGACCUACUUCAGUGCCACACAUCACACUAUCAAAUUUAAAUAGUCUGCGAUUAAAUUCUGACUAAAAUCAGACAAACAAUUGUCCAAAUAGUGUGCUAAAAUCAUCUUUACUGGUUUCCUAAAUGUUUCUUGGAUGCAAGCUUAAAAAAGUUUUACCUGAAAGAUUCUCUGACAGAAAUAACCCAAUAAAAAAAUAGAG